rnacentral:rRNA from 1 species
UANGCGGAGGAAANGAAACUACAAGGAUUCCCCUAGUAACUGCGAGUGAAGCGGGAAAAGCUCAAAUUUAAAAUCUGGUGGUCUUUGGCCAUCCGAGUUGUAAUUUAGAGAAGCGUCUUCCGCGCUGGACCGUGCACAAGUCUCCUGGAAUGGAGCGUCACAGAGGGUGAGAAUCCCGUCUUUGGCAUGGACAUACCAGGGCUUUUGUGAUGCGCUCUCGAAGAGUCGAGUUGUUUGGGAAUGCAGCUCAAAAUGGGUGGUGAACUCCAUCUAAAGCUAAAUAUUGGCGAGAGACCGAUAGCGAACAAGUACCGUGAGGGAAAGAUGAAAAGCACUUUGGAAAGAGAGUGAAACAGUACGUGAAAUUGUUGAAAGGGAAACGCUUGAAGUCAGUCGCGUCGACCGAGACUCAGCCUCGCCUCGGCUUGGUGUACUUCUCGGCUGACGGGUCAGCAUCAAUUUCGCCUCUUGGAUAAUGGCGAGGGAAAUGUGACACCUUUACGGUGUGUUAUAGUCUCUCGUCGCAUGCAAGGGUCGGGAUUGAGGAACUCAGCACGCGCCUUUGGGUGUCGGGGCUUUGCCCACGAUACGUGCUUAGGAUGUUGGCGUAAUGGCUUUAAACGACC